ensembl:lncRNA
GGGCGUCGCGCAGGAGGAAAGGGAAGCCUGCUGAGAGCGAUAACGGGAACGGGAUGGGUACGAGUCCACUCGCUUAGGGAUGAGUAAGCGCGAUUUGCUCUCUCAUCUGGGGCAUCGUCGGUCUGGAAGAUACUGAGAAAGACGGAUCCAAGCUAUGCGCUGCAGAGAACUACGGAAACCACGGGAGUAUCUCAUUCGUGAGACCGCAGCUGAGGUUCUCGUUUCAUCCUGCGAUUUCUGGUCCCUCACGCGGAGGUGAACUAGAAUGAGAGCCUGCAAUAGGCUUUCUGUGGAACUAGGAGGAGAAAUGAUCGUGAUUACAAAACUAGCCACGGGUUUGUCAUUUUGUGAUGGAAAGUCUAUGUCUAUGUGCAGUGGCUGAACAUAUGGAACUGGACUGAAGCAGGAUGUCCUUCCAAUCCUGCUUUCUUAAGUGGGCCGGCAGCAUCUAGAUACCGUGCUGAUAAAGCAUGCAAGUGAAUAAGUACGUAAAUAGUAACAUUUCUCAUGUGCAUUUCUCAUGUCCUCAUGUGCAGGGAUCUCCAAUGGCCGUGCAAACGUGAAUGCCAGAUACACAUCUAUCACUUAGGCAAAAAUAUGGGCAAGUACUAUUAGCUUCAAGUAGAUUUGGGGACACUGCAGUGUGGAGAAGUUGGGUAUCUGUCAUAGCUCCAUGCCAAGGGUUUUAUUUUCAGUGAUGGCAAAGCUCCAAGCUCCAUCAGGGUGAACUAGAACCAAACUGAAGCUCUGGAGUGCAGAUGUCCAUGUAGACAUCCCUCCUAGAGCAGCAAGCAAGAGCUCUGGUAUCUGAUUCUUACUCCACUUCUUAAGACUGGAGGUCCCAGACAGAGGUUUGGGAGAGUGUUCUGUGUUGCACUGUAAUACAGGUUUUCUAUAUACCCUGCGGAUAAAAGAAAAUGAUCAGAAGUAGCUAUGUCAAUUAGAACAGCCUUGAAACAGCUCUAUAUUUCACCUGAGGACAUCAGAGCAGUGAAAGAGUUCUCCCCGAGUGAAAAUAAUGUGACUGAAAAAUAGGCCAUAUGGGUAAGUGGCAGAACAGAAAGAAACCAUAGUAACCCUAAAUUCUCUUCUAACCAUGGUGAAUGCAAGUCUUCAUUUACAUUCAGCCAGCAGCAAAAAGAAUGAAAAAUGUUGCUUUGCAUCAGCCCUCGCAUAGUGGCCUGUAUUUCCCAGCUGUUUGUCCAU